rnacentral:tRNA from 1 species
UAAAAGCAUAGUAUAAAUUUAAUACAUUUCACUUACACUGAAAAUAUACUCUUUUGAGUUACUUUUAU